GAGUGAGUGAGUGAGUGAGUGUGAGAGAGAGAGAGAGAGAGAGAGAGAGAGAGAGAGAGAGAGAAAAAUACACACACCGGCUACCGGAGAAAACCUGGAGCGGAUUCUCCCGCGUGGACUGACCCGAGAGCACAAGCACAGACAUCUGAGACGAACCUGAGAAGAUAAACACGGAUAUUGUAGCAUCACGAUCAACACCAUCGUCUAGUUUUAAAUAGCUGCACAGAUGCAACCUGAUGGUGUGGAAUCCACCUGUAGUGAUUAGCUUGUAUUUCAGGGCUUUGUCACAGUGCUAAUUUAAUUCCCAUGGUGCAGCUUUCUCGCAGGAGAAGCAGCUCAACAGCUGGCAUGGACUGAUUGUUUAUCAUGAAGGUCCACAUCAAUACUCCCUAUCGGAUAAUGAUUAAUGACGAGCCUUAAAAACCAACAGCAUGAGGUCAACGGCCCUGAUGUUAGUGACUGUUUUUUUAUUUACAUCACAAAAAACUGCCAUUUGCACCACACAGGGGUGUGUAGACUUUUUUCUUGAC